CCCAUCUGUUUGAGAACCGGAUGCUACCCUACGCCCCGGGAGUGGUGCAGAUGCAGGCUAUCCCUGAGGACGCCAUCCCUGAUGACACAGUGGACGAGGAUACAGAGGACCCUGACAAACGCAUGUCCAUCAGUGCUUCAGACAAGAGGAUAGCCUCCGAUGAGGAGUUCUCUGACUCGGAGGACAAGGGACAGGGAGGAAUGAGGAACGUGGCCGAUAACAAAAAAGGAACGAAGCAGCCCCGGGUAGAGGAAGACAAAAAGCGAGAGGAGAAGAAAGAGUAAGUUGGUGAAAGAGGAGAAAGCAAAGGAAACAAGCACUGAGAAAACUGACACAAAGUGUGAAGAAUGAGCAGACUAGUAGUGCCUGAUUCAGCCACAUGGUAGCACUGUGAUCUCUCCAUGGACAGUCCAGAGUGUGGCAGUCAGGGCAGCUCAUCUCAGCUGAUUCUACUCCCUCAUGUCAGACUCCAUAACUGAAGCAUUAUAUUUAUUGUCAUUGAUCUGUAUCAAAGAUCAUUUCUUAUAUUGACAAGAUGGUUGAGGGACCACUCUAGCAAUGGAAAUGCAUGUCCUCAAAGAUGGAAGGCAGGCAAGAUCAGGUGGGACCAUUCUAGCAAUUUUAUGAGAGGGCAGAUACGCAUGUGAACAACAGACAACUCUGAUAUAAAGUUGUUUUUUAAAAGUUGCCGAAAUGCCACGUGCGUCCACUUAUGUCAGUGCAUUCGUACCAACCUAACCAUUACACACCUUCUAUAUCAGGGAUCAUCGACUAGAUUUAGCUGUGGGCCAAAUGUUUUUUCUUGAGCAGAUGGUCAUAGGGCCGGAACAUAAUUAUAAAUAAUUUGUAGACUACAAAUUGACCACAAGAAGCCCAAAAAUUUUUUUUUUUACUAAAACAUAAUCAUUUCUAAUCUUGCUUACAUUUGUACAUGAUCAUGUGUCUAUUUUCUAUCCAUGGUAAUUCUUGGGAACAGAUUUUUAUCAGAGCUUUUAUCCGUAAACUGCAUAGUGGACCCAGUUAUAGCGUUCUCUUUAUUUUCAUCAAUUUUUAUCUUCAUGUUUGAUAAACACGCCCCGUUAAAGCGACUUAGGCUAAAAAAAUCGAACUAAUUCUUGGUUCUCCUGUGAUUUGAAAAUCCUUUUCCUGCAAAAGAAUCAAGCAUGGGCCUUGUGAGGAAAACUGGUGAAACAGCUGAUUGGCUGCUGUUAUAAAUAAAUGGACUGUCACGUUCUGACCUUAGUUCCUUUUUUAUGUCUUUAUUUUAGUUGGUCAGGGCGUGAGUUG